AGGAAAACUGUGAAAAUUCAAGUAAUCAAGCAAUCAAAGGUGAUGAGCCCUCUAACAAGGGUAAAGAUGUUGUGUCAGAGGACUGAGAAUAGUAGUAUUUCAAACUCCUGAUACAAUCAGGAGGCAGCCGAUAACUAGGUCGACAUGUCCUUGUAGAUUCGCAUCCUUGGUAGGUAGCUCGGCAUUUAGUAGUCAUACGUCACUCGGGUCUCUCCGCUGGAAAUCGAGUCUCCUUUUUGAUAUGUAUAGACAAACCUGAUGUAAAUUAUUAAGACAUAUG